rnacentral:lncRNA from 1 species
UUCUAAAUAUGGUACUUGCUCCUUAACACCAUUCUAGGCUAGUGGAUUGUAAUUCUUUCUUAGGACAUGCAACAAGAUACCUAAACUUAGAUUAUUAGGACAUAACUUAGAGGUUUCACCUUCAUCACUAACUUAUCUUUCCUACCUCGGAUAUUAGAACCAUGAUCACAAAUCAUACUUUGAUAAAAAUAGUCAUCUUAAGAAAAUCAAACAGUUUUGGUAUCCUCACUUUGAAAAAUCAUUUCUCUU